rnacentral:rRNA from 1 species
UUGAACGCUGGCGGCAGGCUUAACACAUGCAAGUCGAGCGGUAGCACAGGGGAGCUUGCUCCCCGGGUGACGAGCGGCGGACGGGUGAGUAAUGUCUGGGAAACUGCCUGAUGGAGGGGGAUAACUACUGGAAACGGUAGCUAAUACCGCAUAACGUCGCAAGACCAAAGAGGGGGACCUUCGGGCCUCUUGCCAUCAGAUGUGCCCAGAUGGGAUUAGCUAGUAGGUGGGGUAAUGGCUCACCUAGGCGACGAUCCCUAGCUGGUCUGAGAGGAUGACCAGCCACACUGGAACUGAGACACGGUCCAGACUCCUACGGGAGGCAGCAGUGGGGAAUAUUGCACAAUGGGCGCAAGCCUGAUGCAGCCAUGCCGCGUGUGUGAAGAAGGCCUUCGGGUUGUAAAGCACUUUCAGCGAGGAGGAAGGUGGUGAGCUUAAUACGCUCAUCAAUUGACGUUACUCGCAGAAGAAGCACCGGCUAACUCCGUGCCAGCAGCCGCGGUAAUACGGAGGGUGCAAGCGUUAAUCGGAAUUACUGGGCGUAAAGCGCACGCAGGCGGUUUGUUAAGUCAGAUGUGAAAUCCCCGGGCUCAACCUGGAACUGCAUUUGAAACUGGCAAGCUAGAGUCUCGU